rnacentral:pre_miRNA from 1 species
UGGACAAAUUAUUGUAUUCGACUAUAUUUACAGCAUGAAAUAGGGGAUUACAACUGUUUUUAAACAGAAAGUGAAUUAAUUAAUAUAAUAGACUCAU